CAGCUCUGGGAGAUGCUUAAUAAGAAAUACCUAUUUGCCAAGAGUGAUUUUCCCAAACCCCAGUCUGACAGCUUCACGGCCCUCACCUGGCCUUAAAGCCUUUACUUCCUGUUGUCCCACAAUCAAAUCUGAAAUCUUCAGCUGAGCCUCAGCAUCGUUGUAUGAUCUGCCUUUUCCGCCAGCCUCAUCCUUCAUAACGUCUCUCCCUUCGGCCACAACUAAACUUCAUUUCACCUUCAUUUCUCUUCCAUCCUCCACCCUCCCUGUCGCCCCAGUCUGCUUCCAGGACUCCUCUCUUGUAAAUGCCUCGGGAGAGAAUCUCUGAAUCAAGCACCCCAAAGUAUCCUGGUCACAUCACUAUCACAGGGUGUAACCUCCACCAGAGGAGUUGCCUGUGGCUCUGACUGGCUUCUCUGUGACAACUGAAGCUAUCUGAGGACAGGGGCUAGUUCUUGGACAUAUUUUCUUCCCUGACUGACUCCAAGCACAUGGCUGGGAGUCCACAGCCCAUGGCUGGAGGUUCACUGCACACAGCUGACAUCUUUGCAGAGAGGAUGAAUGAACAGCAGCAGACAAGAAAGACCUCUCGGUGCCUGUGAGCCACGGAGCUCUGCAGUGAGUUCCACCCAGGAGGUGGAGUGAAAGGGCAGUUUCACCAGCUUGUCUAAGUGACCUGUUUCCAAUCAUAGGUCCAAGAUGAGCUUUCUGGUACACAUGA